UCAUAAACCCUCGUGGCUCACCAUUCCGAUGUUACUUUUGGUCAUGUCUGCAGUCACGACCUCAAGCGUUCAGCAAUGGAACACCCGAGAGGGGCAUGGAUUCAUGACGUACCGGAUCUGGGGCCAUCACCAAGGCCCAGCAUCAGUACCGAUAUGAUGCUCAUAUGGAUAAGGGUGACUAGAGAAGCAUCGCCACCCAAUGGACCAUUCCCGCCUUACCAUGGCUGCCAACGAACCAGGUAAUCCGCUCCGUCCUGCCUGAACAUUGGGUAUGCCAUACGAUGUGCUUUCCCAAAACAGUAGAACAUGGCGAUGGAGGGACGGCCAUUCCUCAUGGACUAGGCUAUAUGUGACUACGAUAUGGGAUGCCAGAACCUACUUGAAGUGACCGCAAUACAUGACUGGCGGGCGUGGCAGAAAGUCUAGCGCUCAUCAAGGCAUAGACGGGUCACCAAGAGGUAGUGUCUCGGAUAACAUGACACCCUCAUACAGCAGCACAAGCCUACCCCAGAGCCAAUAAACGACAGGGCUCGCCAAUCUUUAUGACAUGCUCGGGGACUCGGAACGAGGAAGCGACACCCAGAGACGGACACACUCGGGGCGUCUUGCUCGUGUGGGAAAUUUGGCACACACGGGAGACAUGGCAGUGAAUGCUGACAACCCGAUGAUGGUUGGACAUGGCUAGUUAUUGUCUGUCCCUGAAUGCUUCCCUAUUCCUCAUCACUCCCGACUGUGGUACAUACGUUAUCUGUUUGUAAGCACUUUCCUUGAUUCAAGCAGAGGAACAGUAGCCCGACACAGUACUUGCUCAUAAGGCUACACCCGUCCCGUUUCUGGCUUUCCGUACUUUCCUUUGGGAUGACCUGACUACCUGUAAACAGGCCCAGGUCUCGCAGCUCUGUGGCAAUCAUCACGCAUUUCCAC